GCCGGGGUGGCGGAAUGGCAGACGCGCCGGAUUCAAAAUCCGGUAUCCUCACGGGUGUGUGGGUUCGACUCCCACCCUCGGCA
rnacentral:tRNA from 1 species